rnacentral:rRNA from 1 species
UACGUAGGGAGCAAGCGUUGUUCGGAUUUACUGGGCGUAAAGGGCGCGUAGGCGGCAGAUCAAGUCAGCUGUGAAAUCUCCGAGCUUAACUCGGAACUGUCAGCUGAUACUGUUUUGCUAGAGUGCGGAAGGGGCAAUCGGAAUUCUUGGUGUAGCGGUGAAAUGCGUAGAUAUCAAGAGGAACACCUGAGGUGAAGACGGGUUGCUGGGCCGACACUGACGCUGAGUGCGCGAAAGCCAGGGGAGCAAACAGG